UUUCUCUCCAUGUGGAAGAAUAUAUAUGAAUCGCUGGAGGAACAUGUAUUAUUAUGGUGGACCAAAUCUUUCCUGCUUUGGCCGCUGAUCCCUAAAAUCUGCUCCUGUGAACAGCUCUUGCUCACCAGACAGCCUCGUGAUGUGUCAAGGGUAAGUGAACCUGAAACUGCAGAGGAGGUGGCCUUCAAAAGACUCCCAACUUGCAAAAUUAAGGCGAAGAAAGCAUUUGGCAUAGGAAGUUUCAGGUCUGGCCAGAUUCAGGCUUUGCAAAAAUAUCUUGGGACAUUGCACUAAAGCCAGAGCAAAGCGGCCAGGGCCUGGCUCUGGUCAUUAUAGGUUAUUUGCAGCCUGUUUCUUUCCAAAGUGAUUUUCUCCUAUCUGAAAGCUGAGGUCUUCUGACUCAGCCUGAUUCCUGCAGCUGGCGCACACAACUCCCGCCUUCACCAGCUGACAGGCAUUUGGAGACGGCCCUGGAAAGCGGCAGGAAUGUGGAGGCCCCCGUUCCAGUCCCGGCCCCCAGAAGACCCUGGCCGGCUCUCUGCAUGCUCCAGAGGCAUCCAGGGCAGUGCCAAGGGGGCGGCAGGCACGUGGGACGCAGCAAGUCAGAGUUCGCCUCCUCCCCAGGUGGGGCUCAUCCAGGCGAAGUCAUGCCCAUCAGAAGCUGUAUCCCUGUUUGCUGCUCUCUUGCAACUCACUCUGUCCCCCUGGACCUGCCCAGCGAGCAGACAACCUCUGCAACCCCUCAGUCCCUCCAGGUCAUCCGCUUCCGUGUUCACCUCUCACCCCUGCGGGUUGGAGGUCGCCUGUUGAGGACAAGUUCUCUGGAGUCUACCAAGAGGUCAGUUUCACAGCAGAGGACUUGGGAUUCCACGCUUGGCGGGCUGCUGGAUCGCUGUCAGCGUGGAGAAACACAUUGAGCCCGUGCAACAAAGGAUGGCGUGGUACCAGGAGAACGGAAAUGACAGGGACCGGAACAGUUUUUGAUGCCAACAGUUUAUAUUUGAUCUCCAGAUGCAAUACAGCUGACAGCUAAUUAGUUUCACUUAGAUCUACCCAGAUCUUCGCUUUUUUUUUCCCCCCACACAUGCUGUGGAUAUGCUAGUGUGAAAAUGUGUCUGCCUGGGGUUGCUCUUUGAUUGAGAAUUCUCUGGAAUGAACACCCUUGGAAUCCCUGAGGAGUCUGGAGCCCCAGCACGUGGACCAUCUGGUGAAGACAGUCUUUCUGUCUCCAGCUUGGCCCAAGAGCAGGCAUGGUGGCUGGAUUCCUGAGAGAGAACCAGGUGGAAGCCAUAUUGCCUCUGUGACUGAACCUCCGAAGUCACUCAGCAUCAUUUCCAUCACAGUUACAAAUGUCCACCCAAGUUCAAGGAGAAGAAACACCGUCCCUCCCAGUUAUGGAUUACAGUAUGCAACCAUGAUGCUUUCUUUCAUGUGUCAGUUGGACUGGUCCACUUUCUUUCUGAGUGUGUCUGUGAGGAUGUUUCCAGAUGAGAUUCAUGUUUGAAUCAAUGGACUCAGAAAAGUAGAUUGCUCUCCUCCGUUUGGGUAGGAUCAUGCAAGCUGCAAUCUACUGGAGGCCUGAAUAGAACAAAAAGAGGAGGAAGGGAGGAUCCAUCCUCUUCCAUCCUGCCUGUUGAGCUGGGACAUCAGUCUCUUCUUGCCCUUGGACUAGAACUCACACCUUCGGCUCCCCUGGUUCCCAGGCCUUCAGACUCAGACUGAAUUUUACCACUGACCUUCCUUGGUCUCCAGCUUGCAGAUGGAAGAUCAUGGGACUUCUCAGCCUCCAAAAUCAUGUGAGCCAGUUUCUCAUAAUACAUCCAUCUAUAUGGAGAAAUUUAUAUAGAGAUUGUAUACAUGUGCAUAAAACUACAUAUACAUGUUGGUUCUGUUUCUCUAAUACAUAUACCCCAACAAAAUUCAUGUGUGAAAGUCUUAAUCCCCAUGCCUCAGCCUGUGACCUUAUUUGGAAAUGGGGUCUUUACAGAGCUAAUCAAGUUAAAAUGAAGUCAUUAAGGUGGGCCCUUUUUCAAACGAGUGGUGUCAUUAUAAAAUGGGGAAAUUUGAAGACAGUUAACUCACACCAGGAGAACACCACAUGAAGAUAAAGAAAUCAGAGCGAUGUUGCUACAUGCCAAGACAUGCCAAAGAGUGCCAGACAACCCGUCAGAGCUGGCAAAGAGGCAGGGAGGAGAUUCUCCUUCACAGACCUCAGAUGGCAACAAGACUGCCAAUCCCUGGAUCUCAGACAUCCAGCCUCCACAACUGAGAGACCAUAGGGUCUGUGGUUCAAGUCACCUGGUUUGUGGUACUGUCAGCCCAUAUCCUCGGAUGCAGAAUGCACAGAUGUGGAGGGCCAAGUCUGGGACUUGAGAAUAUCCUCAAAUUUUGGUGUCAUGGAGGCUCCUAGAAUCAAUCCCCUGCAGAUACCCAAGGGCAACUGUACUUUAUCAGAGCAGAGCUAGAAAACUAACCUCCACAUCAUUAUGGAGGAUCAUCAAUGUCAAAUUGUAGAAAGAGCAUGCAGAAGGGGUAGUUAGGGGUGUGCCCAUCUUUGGAAAUUGCAACCUGCCACAGCCCAACCCCUCACCAACAAAAAUUCACCUCCCUCCCACAUGCAAAAUGUACUGGUCCCCUCCUGCAAACCACCAAACCUCAUCCCAUUACAGCACCAGCUUAAAGUCCAGGAUCUGAUCAUCUAAAUCAGAUUCAGAAGGAACCAAGGCUUCUGGAGUAUAGUCAAGGAGCACAGCUCUUCUGGAUCUGAAGAGUCAUCAAUUAAAGAGACCAGUUAUCUACCCGCCCCCAGGGGCCACAUGCAGUGGGGGAACAGCUCAUGGACAUCUUCUCCUUUCAAAGUCAUCCCCAUUCUCCGAAGAGCCUGAAACCAUCAGCUCUAAAACACCAUCAAAGAUCUCCUUGCUUAAGGGACUUCCCUGGUGGGCCAGUGGUUAAGAAUCUCCCUCCCAAUGCAAGGGAUGUGGGUUCAGUCCCUGAUCGGGGAAACUGAGAUCUCACAUGCUGUAGAGCAACUAAGCUGGUGAGCCGCAACUAGAGAGCCCGUGUGCAGCAACAGAAGGCCUGGUGUGGUGCAUCAAAGAUACCACAUGCCGCAACCAAGAUCCGACACAGCCAAAUAAAUCAAUAUUUUAAAA
ensembl:lncRNA